UGUAAGUGAGCCCAGGAUAGGGCAAGGUCAGAACAAUGCGGGAAAUUCCCCAAAGUUUGAGAGAGAAAGAAGAAAACAUCAAAUGAGACAAACACGAGCUCUGUGCAAACACCAUUAGAAUGUGUAGCAGAAAGCUUUGGUCAUCUCUUCUGGAUUUCCUUCUACGACAAUUCUCCACCUGUCUGAACUGAUAAUGAAAGUAAGCAACUAUAAAUCCACAGUGUUCCCAAAAACAAAAGUAUGUAUAAUUAAAACCUAAGUUCAGAUAACUGAUGGUAUUAUUUCUCCAUAUA